UAAGUACACCGCCCAUGUUAUCUUCAGCCGAUAAGUAAACAAACAGGAAAUUCUAGAUUGAAAAUUAUUAUUCCAGGGUAGUGUGUUGAGUUACAAAGGAUCCAGCAGCUUUUGUCUUCAAUAUUGGGAUGUGCUGUACAUGGCCUGUCGUAUCAUGUUAUCAAACUCAAGUGAAAAUUUGAUCGAUCCCUCGGCUCAUAUGAACUGAAAGCAAUGGUUUGACGUUGGUCUGUGUCAAUAGUUGAAUGACGUACUAAGUAUUAUUGGGAUAAUGUGAGAGGCAAAGAUGAUGAAACAAAAGAACCAAAUUGUAUAAAAUGAGAAGUUACCUGAUGUUGAGCAUGUAAUAUCUUCGAACAGUUACGACUAUUGCAGAUAUCAUGUCGAGAUACAUCAUUCUUGCCCUGCUUGUGGUAAUAUCCGUGCUGGAUUAUACGACUGCCAACGAACAGGGUACACCAACAGGUUCUCUCAACUCUAAUAAACCCUAGUAGACAAAACUGGUUUCAAUCGCUUCCAAUUUGUUUGAACUACUCACUAUUAAAUAUGUCAAUCAUUGAUUGUAUGAUAAAAAUAUGAGUCACUAAA